CAAUAGUAUAUAUUAGUGUUGUUGCAGUUAAAGCGCUCGUAGUUGGAUUUUGGAACUGUUUAAAUGGUCCACCGGAAGGUGUGUACUCUUUGAAUUGUUCUUCCUUCUGAAGAACUUGCAUACUCUUUAUUGGGUGUGUAAGCAAUUCAGGACUUUUACUUUGAAAAAUUAGAGUGUUCAAAGCAGGCCUUACGCUUGAAUAUAUUAGCAUGGAAUAAUAAAAUAGGACUUUGGUUUUAUUUUGUUGGUUUUCGGAACUGAAGUAAUGAUUAAUAGGGAUAGUUGGGGGCCAUUAGUAUUUCUUCGUCAGAGGUGAAAUUCUUGGAUUGAAGAAAGACUAACUUCUGCGAAAGCAUCUGGCAAGGAUGUUUUCAUUAAUCAAGAACGAAAGUCAGGGGAUCGAAGACGAUUAGAUACCAU
rnacentral:rRNA from 1 species